rnacentral:rRNA from 1 species
CCCUUAGAUGCUCUGGGCCGCACGCGCGCUACACUGGUCGAUGCAACGAGUUUCUUUCCUUGGCCGACAGGCCCGGGCAAUCUUUGAACGCUGGUCGUGAUGGGGAUAGACUUUUGCAAUUUUUGGUCUUCAACGAGGAAUUCCUAGUAAACGCAAGUCAUCAACUUGCAUUGAUUACGUCCCUGCCCUUUGUACACACCGCCCGUCGCACCUACCGAUUGAAUGGUCCGGUGAAGCCUCCGGAUUGGCGCGCACCUCGGUGCCGCCGAGAAGUUGGCUAAACCUUACCAUUUAGAGGAAGGUGAAGUCGUANCA